rnacentral:rRNA from 1 species
CGUAGGUGGCGAGCGUUAUCCGGAUUUACUGGGCGUAAAGCAUGUGCAGACGGAUUGGUAAGUGGUGUAUGAAAGCGUCCGGCUUAACCGGGCAAGGGUAUGCCAGACUGCCAGUCUUGAGAGUGGGAGAGGGAUGUGGAAUUCCGGGUGUAGUGGUGAAAUGCGUAGAGAUCCGGAGGAACCCCAGAGGCGAAGGCGGCGUCCUGGCCCAUUUCUGACGUUCAGACAUGACAGCAUGGGGAGCGAACGGGAUUAGAAACCCCGGUAGUCCAUGCCGUAAACGAUGUCGACUAGGCGCUGGACGGGUAAAACCGUGCGGUGCCGCAGCUAACGCGAUAAGUCGACCGCCUGGGGACUACGACCGCAAGGUUA